rnacentral:rRNA from 1 species
UACGAAGGGGGGCUAGCGUUGCUCGGAAUCACUGGGCGUAAAGCGCACGUAGGCGGCUUUCUAAGUCAGGGGUGAAAUCCUGGAGCUCAACUCCAGAACUGCCCUUGAUACUGGAGAGCUUGAGUUCGGGGAGAGGUGAGUGGAACUGCGAGUGUAGAGGUGAAAUUCGUAGAUAUUCGCAAGAACACCAGUGGCGAAGGCGGCUCACUGGCCCGAUACUGACGCUGAGGUGCGAAAGCGUGGGGAGCAACAGG